rnacentral:rRNA from 1 species
UACGUAGGGAGCAAGCGUUGUCCGGAAUCAUUGGGCGUAAAGCGCGCGUAGGCGGCCCCGUAAGUCCGCUGUGAAAGUCAAAGGCUCAACCUUUGAAAGCCGGUGGAUACUGUGGGGCUAGAGUCCGGAAGAGGCGAGUGGAAUUCCUGGCGUAGCGGUGGAAUGCGCAGAUAUCAGGAGGAACACCAAUAGCGAAGGCAGCUCGCUGGGACGGUACUGACGCUAAGGCGCGAAAGCGUGGGGAGCAAACAGG